UACGUAGGGCGCAAGCGUUGUCCGGAAUUAUUGGGCGUAAAGAGCGUGUAGGCGGCCAGGUAGGUCGGUUGUGAAAACUGGAGGCUCAACCUUCAGACGUCGACCGAAACCAUCUGGCUAGAGUCCGGGAGAGGAGAGUGGAAUUCCUGGUGUAGCGGUGAAAUGCGCAGAUAUCAGGAAGAACACCCGUGGCGAAAGCGGCUCUCUGGAACGGUACUGACGCUGAGACGCGAAAGCGUGGGGAGCGAACAGG
rnacentral:rRNA from 1 species